CGUGGUCAAAAUUGGUUGGGUGAGACGUUUUAUAAAAAAAAAAAACCUUUUUCUUUACCUUUCCUUCACUCUCGCGACGAGAGGUUGCAAACAGAGGAGAAUGAUUCAAUUUUUGGUGACCUCCGACUGUUCGGCGACAGUAACUCAUCCUAUCCAGCGACGACGGAUCUCAAGCGACUCUAGGUCAGUUGAUCGGCGAGUUUGUUCUUUAAAACCGGAUAGUCUCAUCCACCAAAUCAGAGCGUUUCCUUCACCAAAUUGAACAUUAUCUUACUGUCUUCUUCUCUCCGGUUUGAGAAGGUGGUGAGUUUCUUCUUUCAUUAUCAUCUUAAGCUGGGAAAGAUUUUUGUGAGACUUUCAAGAAACAAACCCCCAAAAACAACUGUUGGAGAUAAGUGAUACGUUUGUGGUUGUUUUAGAAGGAAGUUCCAAAUGAGAUGAGGAAUCUGACAAGCAAAAAGGUGAAAAGCUAGAAUGAGACGCAGCUUUGAACAAAUUAUGUCGAUGCUUUUGCUAUGUGGUUUUGUGUUUGCAGCCAUUUGGACAGAAGAAUGAACGUUCCUAUGAGCUGGCUGAGGUUGACGAAGCUUGUGAAUUGGUUCUACUCUAAGGAGUUUCCAAACCUUCCAUCAGAUGAACAGUGAGGCAAUACUGGAUGAGUUUCAAGCUUUAUGAAUGGUGGUUUGAUUGCGCUCAUGUUUUCUCUGACAACAACAGGGUGGUUAAAUCACCAGAAGCAAAAGCUAAAGAGGGCUUUGACGAUUUUUGAGAUAGUUUGUGAGGGUCUUUUUGUUUUGUACGAUUCCCUUGCAUUAUCCACCAAGUAUGUAAAGGAACUGGGAUGCUAUAUAGUUCAAUUAGUUCUGGAGAGUGUUGGGGUGAGAUUUGUUUUUCCACUUUUAUAAAUUUCUUAAAAUUUCUACAAUAUUUUUCAAAAAUAAGAACUUCAUCUAGAGAUUUACCGUUGGAGGGGAUAAUUUUAUUUCA